ACGGCGGGGCGGUACGAGGGGUUGCCACGGAUACCCUGAACCAGCUGACAGUGACGGCAGGCUCUGAUUGGCUGCUCAAGUUCUGGCGCUGCAAGAGCAGGAAACAGGAAGAGCAGCUGGAGCUACAUGCUGCACCAGCUAGCAUGAUGCUACACAGAGACAGCGGGAUGUUAGCAUUAGCUCUGGAUGACUUCAUGCUGCUAGUGGUCGACAUAGAAACCAGACGGGUCGUCAGGAAGUUUUUGGGUCACCACGGCAAAAUCAACGACAUGACUUUCAGCCCUGAUGGCCGCUGGCUUGUUACCGUGGCGAUGGACUGCACCAUUCGUACCUGGGAUCUUCCCUCUGGAUGG